rnacentral:lncRNA from 1 species
GAUCUCUUAUGUGGAGCUUGGUAGGUAAAAACAAUCCUAGCAAAAUAUUAUAUUUGAAAUAUUGUCAAACCAAGAGAGAUCUAUUGGGAUUACUGAGACUUGUCAAAAAGGUCAUGGAAAAUAAAUGUUGGAGAGGAAGAGGGAUGAAACACACACAUUUAGAUAGUGGACAUAUGCAAGGGCAAAGGGCGAUCACGAGACACAAAUGAAGUCCCCGUAAUUGGAUUGCACAUGGUUGGAAAAUGAGUAUGAAUCAAUCCUUAAUCUUGAGAGCACUGGAAACUUUAAUGAGGCUCAAAGAACU